AUGCUGGCCAGGAUGUCCAGUCCCCUGCUCCUGCGCUCUCCCAGCCCGCUCACCCAGACCCUCCUCACCACCUUGUCGGACCCCCUGCACCAGAGAGACCCCCCUGGGAUGAGGCGCAGCUACUCAGCCGACCAACACCACCACCAACAGCACCUCCUCCGUCCCACCUUAUCCUCCUCCUGCCACGCCUCCCUUCCUCCGCCACCUCCUCACCCUGGUUCAGCCCGUAACCAAUCGCCUGCCGGGCGCAGGAAAUUGCCCGCGAUCCCGGCGGGUGCCGCCAACUGCAAGUUCCCUUCCGUUAUACGCAUAACGCGAGCCCAACUCCAGCAGUUGACAGCUCAGCGGUCCCAGACUGGCUCAGAUCGGGCUCCACAGUACCUCCAGCUGGAGAGACGGGGGGAACCAGCCGCAGAGACCCAGCAGCCCCAGGAUAAUGCAGCUACCGUUGACAUCCACGCCCCCCAUGGCCUGGAUUGCUUGCCCACCUCUACGCAUGCCUCCUCCCAGCCCGGGAGCCCCACCACCCUUGAUGAGUUUCCCCUGGCUGAUACCCAGGUCAACGGAGGACAGACUCACCCCAACCCCCAGACCCAUGCCAAAGCCCAUAGCCCCUUGCCAAGUCGGGUGUCAUCUCCUCGCUCCCCACUCUCCCUCUGUUCUCCUCAUACUCCACGCUCUGAUUCUCCUCGCUCCCCCCUCUCCCCCUGCUCUCUUCAUUCUCCACGUUCUGAUUCUCCUCGCCCCCACCUCAGCCCAGUGUUGGCCAACGGACACCUCUCUCCUCCAGCCAAUGGCCAGGAGGCCGGCUCUGAUGGCGGAGCCUUCCCGGAGUUCAAAGACCGUGAGGAGGACCAGCUCCAGCCCAACGGUGGAGAUGAGGAGAACGCCGGUGUCCAAGCGCCAGCUCUGACUUCCUCCUCUCCGCCCUCCGUCCCACGUAGAGACCCCUCCCGUAGGCUCAGCCGCAUCCCGGUCUUGGAGGCUUCUGGCCUGUUGGACCUCCCUCCUGCGCCUGGUUCGGCCAUGGAGAAGCUGCUCCUGAAGAAAGCCCACAACCAUGGUGGAGGAGCGCCCUCCCCAGUGGCCUCCCCCUCUCUCCCCCACCGCGGCCCCGCUGUCGCCUCGCUCCCUCGUGGCGAGCCGCUGUCCUCCGCCUCGGACCGCUCGGAGACGGGCGACGAGUCGUUCCAGGGAUCGCGCUCCGACCGCCAGGGGGAGGACGCCCCGUCCCUGUCCUCCUCCUCCAGCCCCCUGUCCCGUAAGAGCCGGAUCCCUCGGCCCGUCAACCCACCGAGCCUGGCUCCAGAGUACCUGCCACGCCCACCCCCGGGGAAACCGCCCAGUCGCGCUGCAGUGGAGGGCAGACUGAGGCGGUACCGUAUCCGUGCGGGCAGCACCAGCGACUCCGACCUCCUGACCUGCCUGGCCCAGCUGAUGCACCACGGUCAUCCCGGCGCUCCUGCCCGCGGCUCCCCCCAGCACGGACGCUCCUCCCAGCACGGAGGCUCCCGGGUGGGCGUGUGUAGCCUGACCAGCUCCCCCCACCAUCACCGUAGCUCCAGCGCCUCCCCGCGCAGCUCCUCCUCCCUCCAGCGCUCGGUCUCCUCCUCCCCCUCCCGCCAUGAACACCGCGGGGGGGAGAGAGGCGUGUGCCUCGGCCGUUCCCGCUCCCCUCCUAGCUUCUCCGGGUCCCCCCCUCCUCCGCGGCGCUCCUACCCCCACCACCAUCAGGAGAUGUGCUGUGGCCGCCAGGCCCGCUCCGUCCCCUUCCACCACCCCAGGGGUAAAGCCUGCAGCCGCGAGGAGAGGGAGAGGAAGUGCUCCGGCAAGCUGAGCAGCAGAUAG
rnacentral:lncRNA from 1 species